rnacentral:sRNA from 1 species
GGAGCCGGCGCUUUUGCAGUUGCUUCUGCGGAAAGGUGGUAGUUAAGAAUUUGUAAAGGCCAGGGAACUAGCUACGAUUCUCUCAGCGGGUAAUUGGCUGCUCCUAGGUUUGUGUAACAAGCGGCAAAACUGGAAGAGUUUUAUGGAAGAAAAUUGGUUGUUGCUGAUAGAGAAGAAGUGGAACAAGAAGCAGAUAAUAUUUUAAAGGAUGCUGAUAUCAGUGAUGUUGCAUUCCUUGUGGUUGGUGAUCCAUUUGGGGCUACAACACACAGUGAUCUUGUUCUAAGAGCAACAAAGCUGGGAAUUCCUUAUAGAGUUAUUCACAAUGCCUCCAUAAUGAAUGCUGUAGGCUGCUGUGGUUUACAGUUAUAUAAGUUUGGAGAGACAGUUUCUAUUGUUUUUUGGACAGACACUUGGAGACCAGAAAGCUUCUUUGACAAAGUGAAGAAGAACAGACAAAAUGGCAUGCACACAUUAUGUUUACUAGACAUCAAAGUAAAGGAGCAGUCUUUGGAAAAUCUAAUCAAGGGAAGGAAGAUCUAUGAACCUCCACGGUAUAUGAGUGUAAACCAAGCAGCCCAGCAGCUUCUGGAGAUUGUUCAAAAUCAAAGAAUACGAGGAGAAGAACCAGCAGUUACCGAGGAGACACUUUGUGUUGGCUUAGCCAGAGUUGGAGCCGACGACCAGAAAAUUGCAGCAGGCACUUUACGGCAAAUGUGUACUGUGGACUUGGGAGAACCAUUGCAUUCCUUGAUCAUCACAGGAGGCAGCAUACAUCCAAUGGAGAUGGAGAUGCUAAGUCUGUUUUCCAUACCAGAAAAUAGCUCAGAAUCUCAAAGCAUCAAUGGACUUUGAACAUAGAUAUUUACUAUUGUCUGAUGUAAAUUUCAGCCAUAUAUGGAUUGAUAUGGUUUGGCUGUAUCCCCACCCAAGUCUCAUCUUGAAUUU